CCUCUAAUCUAUGUUCGGGGAAAUUUUCCCGAACGUAGAUUAGAGGGAUUCCCUGAUCUGGUGCGUUCGUCUAUGUUCGGGGAAGUUUCUCCGAACAUAGAAAAGCGCACCAGAGCAGGGAAUCCCCAUAACGGCCAAUGUAAAACAGGUAGGUCGCUAAAUGAGGACCACCUGUACUAAUUUACAUAGUAGCAGAGUGUAAUUUCUUCAGUAUUGUCAC